rnacentral:rRNA from 1 species
GGAUAACUUACCCUUUAGGACUGGGAUAACUCUGGGAAACUGGGGAUAAUACUGGAUAUUAGGCUAUGCCUGGAAUGGUUUGCCUUUGAAAUGUUUUUUUUCGCCUAAGGAUAGGUCUGCGGCUGAUUAGGUCGUUGGUGGGGUAAUGGCCCACCAAGCCGAUGAUCGGUACGGGUUGUGAGAGCAAGGGCCCGGAGAUGGAACCUGAGACAAGGUUCCAGACCCUACGGGGUGCAGCAGGCGCGAAACCUCCGCAAUGUACGAAAGUGCGACGGGGGGAUCCCAAGUGUUAUGCCUUUUUGUAUGACUUUUCAUUAGUGUAAAAAGCUUUUAGAAUAAGAGCUGGGCAAGACCGGUGCCAGCCGCCGCGGUAACACCGGCAGCUCGAGUGGUAGCUGUUUUUAUUGGGCCUAAAGCGUUCGUAGCCGGUUUGAUAAGUCUUUGGUGAAAGCUUGUAGCUUAACUAUAAGAAUUGCUGGAGAUACUAUUAGACUUGAAGUCGGGAGAGGUUAGAGGUACUACCGGGGUAGGGGUGAAAUCCUAUAAUCCUGGGAGGACCACCUGUGGCGAAGGCGUCUAACUGGAACGAUCUUGACGGUGAGUAACGAAAGCCAGGGGCGCGAACCGGAUUAGAUACCCGGGUAGUCCUGGCCGUAAACGAUGUGGACUUGGUGUUGGAAUGGCUUUGAGUUGUUCCGGUGCCGAAGGGAAGCUGUUAAGUCCACCGCCUGGGAAGUACGGUCGCAAGACUGAAACUUAA